rnacentral:rRNA from 1 species
UAGAGUUUGAUCCUGGCUCAGGACGAACGCUGGCGGUGUGCUUCACACAUGCAAGUCGAACGGGGUAGCAAUACCCAGUGGCGGACGGGUGAGUAACGCGUAGAAAUCUGCCUUGAGAUGGGGGAUAACAGUCCGAAAGGAUUGCUAAUACCGCAUAUGUAUAUAGCCGGACACGGUUGUGUAUGAAAGGAGUAAUCCGUCUUAAGAUGAGUCUGCGUCCGAUUAGCUAGUUGGUAGGGUAAAGGCCUACCAAGGCGACGAUCGGUAGCUGGUCUGAGAGGAUGAUCAGCCACAAUGGGACUGAGACACGGCCCAUACUCUACGGGAGGCAGCAGUGGGGAAUUUUGUGCAAUGGGGGAAACCCUGACACAGCGACACCGCGUGAACGAAGAAGCCCUUUGGGGUGUAAAGUUCUGUCGGCUGGAACGAAAAAAAUGACGGUACCAGCAAAGGAAGCAUCGGCUAACUACGUGCCAGCAGCCGCGGUAAUACA